UACGUAGGGUGCAAGCGUUAAUCGGAAUUACUGGGCGUAAAGCGUGCGCAGGCGGUUUUGUAAGUCAGAUGUGAAAUCCCCGGGCUUAACCUGGGAACUGCAUUUGUGACUGCACGGCUAGAGUACGGUAGAGGGGGAUGGAAUUCCGCGUGUAGCAGUGAAAUGCGUAGAUAUGCGGAGGAACACCGAUGGCGAAGGCAGUCCCCUGGACCUGUACUGACGCUCAUGCACGAAAGCGUGGGGAGCAAACAGG
rnacentral:rRNA from 1 species